CCUACGGGCGGCUGCAGUGGGGAAUAUUGGGCAAUGGAGGCGACUCUGACCCAGCAACGCCGCGUGAAUGAUGAAGGUCCUCGGAUUGUAAAGUUCUUUUCUAAGGGAAGAAGAAAGUGACGGUACAUUAGGAAUAAGCCUCGGAGAACUACGUGCCAGCAGCAGCGGUAAUACGGAGGAGGCAAGCGUUAUCCGGAAGGACUGGGCGUAAAGGGUGCGUAGGUGGUUGGACAAGUUAGUAGCGCAACUCCGGAGCUCAACUUCGGAACUACCACUAAAACUGUUUGACUUGAGUGCAGGAGGGGUAGUCGGAAUUCCUGGUGUAGCGGUGGAAUGCGUAGAUAUUAGGAAGAACUCCAGUCGCGAAGGCGGAUUGCCAGACUGUAACUGACACUGAGGCACGAAAGCGUGGGGAGCAAACAGGAUUAGAUACCCUAGUAGUC
rnacentral:rRNA from 1 species